rnacentral:rRNA from 1 species
CGCGGCCUAUCAGCUUGUUGGUGGGGUAACGGCCUACCAAGGCAUUGACGGGUAGCGGGCGUGAGAGCGUGACCCGCCACAUCGGGACUGAGACACUGCCCGGACACCUACGGGUGGCUGCAGCAACGAAUAUUCCGCAAUGGACGCAAGUCUGACGGAGCAACGCCGCGUGCAGGAAGAAUUCCCUCGGGAUGUAAACUGCUGUCAGGGGUGAGGAAAUCAAUGACCAACCCCACAGGAAGCACUGGCUAACUCCGUGCCAGCAGCCGCGGUAAUACGGAAAGUGCAAGCGUUGUUCGGAAUUACUGGGCUUAAAGCGCGUGUAGGCGGGAUGCCAGGUACCUUGUGAAAUCCCCGGGCUCAACCCGGGAACUGCAGGGUAAACCGAUAUUCUUGAGGCAGGUAGAGGUCACCGGAACAAGUAGUGGAGCGGUGAAAUGCGUAGAUAUCACUUGGAACGCCGGAGGCGAAAGCGGGUGGCUGGACCUGUCCUGACGCUGAGACGCGAAAGCGUGGGUAGCGAACAGGAUUAGAUACCCUGGUAGUCCACGCCGUAAACGAUGCGCACUAGGUAUGAGAGGCUCUGACGCCGAUCGUGCCGUAGGGAAACUGAUAAGUGCCCCGCCUGGGGAGUACGG